AUACCGGCUUGAAACAGCGGUUCUCAUACGAUCACAGAAGUUAAGCAACGUUGAACUUGGUCAUUACCUAGAUGAGUGACCGCAUGGGAAUACCAGGUGCUGUAAG